AGAAAGAGGCAGCCGCACAACACACCAAAAGGAAAAAAGAAAGGUUUUCGUGGGAAAGGAAAGAAAAAGAGACGAGACCAAGAAAGAAAAGAAAGCAGGGUUUUUCGUGAAAAAGAAAGAGGGAUUUUGGUGAGGAAGCCCAGAGAAGAGCAGCCGCACCAGAAUAGAAGGGAGAAGUUGAAGGGGAAGCGUGAGAUUUAGAGAAAAAAGGAGAGGAAAACCGAGAGAAAAAGGGAGUAUAGGAGGGUUUCGUUUUCUCCAUUUCUGGGAAGAUAGAGGAUCCAGCAGAUCCUGGACCGUCCUCAGCUACAUGGAGGUUCUGUUCUUUUUUUGUAAAUCCGCCAACUGUUUGGGUGGGUAAUAUCUAUCUUGUACAGUCUAGUUAUUACUAAACUAUGUUUAUAGUAGCUCCGUUUGAACAUAGUUAGGAUCCUAGUAUGUGCAAAUGACACUUUGUGACAUAAAUUUGGAGUUUUGGACAGUUUGUACCUAUGCACUUUUGUUCAAUUUGAAUAGACGGUUAUAUGCUCUGAGACUUGCCUUGCCUUAGUGGACCCUUGGGUUCAUUGGGGUCUUGCGCCGGUCACAUGCCCAUUUUUGGGUCGUGACAAUAAUCCAAUACUACAAGAAUCAUUUGGACGUGGAUGACAAGAAAACAGGAGAUUUUGAAGCCAAGUUCCUGAAAGAAGCAGACAAGGAUAUUCUCUAUGAGCUUCUUAUUGCCUCAAAACAUCUUGGGAUGGAUGGCUUGUUGGACCUGACCUGAAAAACUGUUUCUGACAAACUAAUCAAGGAGAAGAGUCCAGAAGAGAUCCGAAUGACAUUAAACAUUGAGGAUGACUUUGAUCCAGAGGCAAACGAGGAGAUUCAGAAAGAGCUGAGUGUCUUAUUCCCAACUCAGACAUAUGAGGAUGUUAAAGCAUCCCAUGAGAUUAAGGAGGCAUGGUAGUCAUCCAAGAAGACUAAGAAGGAGAGCCAGGAGUCUAAGCCACUCUAAGCCAUCUUAUUAAUUGCCACUGAAAUUUCAUCUAUUAUUAUAAUUCAAACAGUUCAUAUAUUUAUUUUAUUACUUGCAUUUUCAUUA